rfam:Bacterium 336/3 strain 336/3 bac336_Scaffold1, whole genome shotgun sequence.
AAAAAGGCUCUUUUCAGAGCCUUUUUUAUUUUUUAUAUAUUUUCU